GAUGAACGCUGGCGGCGUGCCUAACACAUGCAAGUCGAACGAGAUGCGUAUUGGAAAGCUUCGGCCGGAAGAUACGUUAUCUAGUGGCGGACGGGUGAGUAACACGUGGGUAACCUGCCUUAUGGAGGGGGAUAACAGAGAGAAAUCACUGCUAAUACCGCAUAAGCACACAGUACCGCAUGGUACAGGGUGAAAAGAUUUAUCGCCAUAAGAUGGACCCGCGUCUGAUUAGCCAGUUGGCAGGGUAAAAGCCUACCAAAGCAACGAUCAGUAGCCGAUCUGAGAGGAUGACCGGCCACAUUGGGACUGAGACACGGCCCAAACUCCUACGGGAGGCAGCAGUGGGGAAUAUUGCACAAUGGGGGAAACCCUGAUGCAGCGACGCCGCGUGAGUGAAGAAGUAUUUCGGUAUGUAAAGCUCUAUCAGCAGGGAAGAUAAUGACAGACCUGACUAAGAGCCCCGCA
rnacentral:rRNA from 1 species